GGAAGGAUGUAUAGCAUUGCUAGUUGCACUAAAAGUUUUAGUGUAAAAUCAAUUUAGUUGAAUAAAAUUCUGGGUGGAAUUAUGAUAAUGACAUAAUCUGUUCAUAAGUCUUGACCAAAUUACGUGCCAGCAGUCGCGGUAAUACGUAGAAGACAAGUGUUAUUCAUCUUUAAUAGGUUUAAAGGGUACUUAGACGGUAAAUCAAGCCUUAAUAUGGGACUAAUUUGCUAGAGUUUUAUGUGAAAAAGUAUUAAAGUACUGCUGGUGUAGAGAUGAAAUUCUGUCAUACCUUGAAUGGCACAGGUUAAGGCGAAAGCAUCUUUUUAUGUAAAAACUGACGUUGAAGGACGAAGGCUUUGUGUCUCGAACAGGAUUAGAUACCCUAGUAGUCUAAGCAGACAAUGAUGAAUGUCAUAGAUUAGAUACAAUUUGAUCUAUAAAUGAAAAUGUAAGCAUUCCACCUCAAGAGUAAUUUGGCAACAUUGGAACUGAAAUCAUUAGACCGUUUCUGAAAACAGUAGUGAAGUAUGUUGUUUAAUUUGAUAAUCCGCAAAAAACCUUACCACUUUAAUAUGAAUAGAUAUAUUUUAUCAUACAAGCGUUGCACGGCUGUCUUCAGUUAAUGUCGUGAGACUUUGGUUAGUUCCAUAAAAUUAACGUAAACCCUUACUUUAUUUACUUAUAAAGUAGAUCACCGCUAUAUAGGACGUGAUAACAGGAUCAAGACAAGUC
rnacentral:rRNA from 1 species